GCUUAACACAUGCAAGUCGAGCGAGAAUCGUUUUGCUGAAGACUUCGGUCUGACGCAGAAUGAGGAAAGCGGCGAACGGGUGAGUAACGCGUGGGCAACCUGGCCUUAAGAAAAGGAUAGCCCCGGAAACGGGGAGUAAUACUUUAUGAGAAUGAAAGAGGGCAUCCUACUUUCAUUCAAAGCGCAAGCGCUUAAGGAUGGGCCCGCGUAUCAUUAGCUAGUUGGUGAGAUAACAGCCCACCAAGGCAACGAUGAUUAGCCGGUCUGAGAGGGCGAACGGCCACAUUGGAACUGAGAGACGGUCCAAACUCCUACGGGAGGCAGCAGUGGGGAAUAUUGCGCAAUGGAGAAGAACUCUGACGCAGCAAUACCGCGUGAGCGAAGAAGGUCUUUGGAUCGUAAAGCUCUGCUAUCAGGGAAGAAGAAAAUGACGGUACCUGAUGAGCAAGUCCCGGCUAACUACGUGCCAGCAGCCGCAGUAA
rnacentral:rRNA from 1 species